ACUCAAAGGAAUAGACGGGGGCCCGCACAAGCAGUGGAUUAUGUGGUUUAAUUCGAAGCAACGCGAAGAACCUUACCAGGUCUUGACAUCGAGUGACGUACCUAGAGAUAGGUAUUUCCUUCGGGACACGAAGACAGGUGGUGCAUGGUUGUCGUCAGCUCGUGUCGUGAGAUGUUGGGUUAAGUCCCGCAACGAGCGCAACCCCUGCCAUUAGUUGCUACGCAAGAGCACUCUAAUGGGACCGCCGCCGACAAGGUGGAGGAAGGUGGGGACGACGUCAAAUCAUCAUGCCCCUUAUGACCUGGGCUACACACGUAAUACAAUGGCCGUUAACAACGAGAAGCAAAGCCGCGAGGUGGAGCAAAUCUCCAAAAACGGUCUCAGUUCGGAUUGCAGGCUGCAACUCGCCUGCAUGAAGUUGGAAUUGCUAGUAAUCGUGGAUCAGCACGCCGCGGUGAAUACGUUCCCGGGCCUUGUACACACCGCCCGU
rnacentral:rRNA from 1 species